UCUUCAUUUUCUUUUGAAGCAAUUAGCAAAACAAAUCUAUGAUCUGACAGUGCCUACAAUUAGACCUUUUUAUGACCGAGAACGGCCCAGACUGGCCAUCUGGCACACUGCCCACACCGUGAGCAUAAAAACAUUGCAUGCGGCAGCACAUAACCAGCUGGCCGCCUCAUGAUCAGCAGCACAGCCCUGGCUGAGAAUAAUGGUGGCUUUUUACAUUCAAGAGAGCUCCCAGUAUGCUGGCCGCAACAGCUCAUCCAUUGCCCUUUUUGAGGGAUGGAUGGUUAUACGGUAUGACUGGUCAGAGCCUAAUCAUAGGCUCCUGACCAUGGAAUAUUUAUAUGGAGCUUGGGAGGCCCGCUACCUCCUUACUCUUGGUACACCAUCAACUAGACCUCACAUCAUUAUCAUAUCCAGGCAUUCAGUAAUGCACUAGCAUCCUCUUCUUCAGUGUAUGGAAAGGGAUAAUUUUAAAAAAAAUCCAAAACUUAAAUGUUACUACAAUAUUUAAUCAAUAAAUGGAAAACAUUACUAGAUGUAAGAAUUUGUGCUUUACAUUUUGCUGUCAUAUGAUAUCUGGGUUAUAUUUUUGCUGUUCUACAUUUUUGUGUUAUGUAGAGGGUAUGAAAUAAAACUAAACCUAGUAUUUUUGUAUCACUAACACAGACAAGGUACAAUGGUGUAAACUUUGUUCAAUUUGUAUUUUAAAACACCAUGUAUUACGGUGAGCACAUUUAUUUUAGCCACAUUACCUACAAUAUUUAGUUACAUUGUCAAUUGAAUGUAUCAAGGACAAAUACAAUUCGAAAAGGUCCAUUUUGUUUUGAAUGUUUUGGUCAUCACAGGUGUAAAGUAUUGUGUUAAUGUACAGAAUUUUCAUUAAAUCUUAAAAGACUGCUGUAUUAUG